rnacentral:sRNA from 1 species
GCCAGGCGUGGUGGCUCACACCUGUAAUCCCAGCUUCUCAGGAGGCCGAGGCAAGAGGAUCAUGAGUUCAAAGCCAGAUUAAGCAAAAGCAAGGUGCUAAGCAAUUCAGUGACACCCUGUCUCUA